rnacentral:rRNA from 1 species
UACGGGGGGGGCAAGCGUUGUUCGGAAUUACUGGGCGUAAAGGGCUCGUAGGCGGCCAACUAAGUCAGACGUGAAAUCCCUCGGCUUAACCGGGGAACUGCGUCUGAUACUGGAUGGCUUGAGAUUGGGAGAGGGAUGCGGAAUUCCAGGUGUAGCGGUGAAAUGCGUAGAUAUCUGGAGGAACACCGGUGGCGAAGGCGGCGUCCUGGACCAACACUGACACUGAUGAGCGAAAGCCAGGGGAGCAAACGGG